rnacentral:misc_RNA from 1 species
GUGAGUCAUCGAAUCUUUGAACGCACCUUGCGCUCCUUGGUAUUCUGAGGAGCAUGCCUGUUUGAGUGUCUUGAAGUCAUCAACCCUGCCUGCUUUUUUUGUGGGUGUGGGGUUGGAUCCCUGGGGAUUGCUGCUGUCAAAGGCUGCUCCCCCCAAAUGCAUCGGUUGGACCUGUGGGUCGAACUCGACUGGGCGUUGUACCAUCCUCGCUCUCCCCGAGACGUUCCCCUUCCGUGUCCUCCCUAGACUUGACCCUGUGGAGUGGGCGGUCAAACUUAAAAACCUUGAAAUCUGACCUCAAAUCAGGUAGGACUACCCGCUGAACUUAAGCAUAUCAAUAAGCGGAGGA